rnacentral:tRNA from 1 species
CAGGGGAUAGUUUAAGUAGAAUGUCAGCUUUGGGUGCUGGUGGUGGGAAUGUAUUUUUUCCCUCUCUUGA